GACGAACGCUGGCGGCGUGCUUAACACAUGCAAGUCGAACGGUGAAGCCCUUCGGGGUGGAUCAGUGGCGAACGGGUGAGUAACACGUGAGCAACCUGCCCCUGGCUCUGGGACAACCACUGGAAACGGUGGCUAAUACCGGAUACGACCCGCCUCGGCAUCGAGUGUGGGUGGAAAGUUUUUCGGCUGGGGAUGGGCUCGCGGCCUAUCAGCUUGUUGGUGAGGUGAAGGCUCACCAAGGCGACGACGGGUAGCCGGCCUGAGAGGGCGACCGGCCACACGGGGACUGAGACAGGGCCCAGACUCCGACGGGGGGGAGGGGUGGGGAAUUUGGCAAAAGGGGCGAAAGCCGGAGGCAGGGACGCCGGGGGGGGGAGGAGGGCUUUGGGGUUGAAAACCCUUUUCAGCCCCGAAGAAGGGAAAGGGAGGGUGGGGGCAAAAGAAGCACCGGCUAACUACGG
rnacentral:rRNA from 1 species